rnacentral:rRNA from 1 species
UACGUAGGGGGCUAGCGUUGUCCGGAAUCAUUGGGCGUAAAGAGCGUGUAGGCGGUCCGGUAAGUCCGCUGUGAAAGUCGGGGGCUCAACCCUCGAAUGCCGGUGGAUACUGUCGGGCUAGAGUGCGGAAGAGGCGAGUGGAAUUCCUGGUGUAGCGGUGAAAUGCGCAGAUAUCAGGAGGAACACCGGUGGCGAAGGCGGCACUCUAGGCCGGUACUGACGCUGAGGAGCGAAAGCGUGGGGAGCGAACAGG